GGGGGCUCCGAGACCGGGAUUGAUUCGGGGCAAAUAUUUGAUGGAUCAAUCCAAGGGUGACCAGCUGCUUCUCACACUGAGCAGACAAUUACUUGAAGGACCAAGACAGUGUAAUAUGUCCUCGGUACAAAGCCAAGUGUGAUCAGUUCCUUCCAACAAAUAGCAGUACGUUGAAUUUCUCCAGUGCAGAUGGAGGUCACAGAAAAUAACCAGAAUCGGCCUGCAACAACUUGCCAAAAGCACAUCCCACCCAGAUAUAGGCCCUACCUGACCCCCAUAACCACACCUUUACCGUAGCUAACCCAUUUAGGCUGCACGUUGAUGAAUAUUUCCAGGGCAAUUUACCGUGGCUAAUCCAGCUAAGCUGCACAUGUUUGAACUGUGGAAGGAAACUAGAGCACCCAGCCAAAAUUGUUAUGAAGAUGUGAGUGUACUGUACCUUUAAGAAAGUUAUCAGCCAGUAGAACUACUGGACAGCACCAAGUGCUCUGAAAAAAAAAAGGUAACAUUUGGUCGAACAACACAAGUAGCUGUUUGCCUGGAGAUAAAAACCAAUUUGAAUUCAACCAAUCAAUUUAAAUUAUAUCCUGAAAAUAACAAAUUCCAAACCACUUCAUACUGAGUGUAUUGACAUUCUUCAAAGCCAAUGACUCAAUCCGAUACUCUGGAGGUAUAAGACCUGGGAAAAUUGAACAAUUGGGAGGAGAAUUGCGAAGCCCCCAGCGUGUAAAAAGACUGCCUGAAAAAUAGCUCUCUUUAAAGUACCUUUAUCAGUCAGUAACUAGUAAAGCACAAUGCCCAAGAAGAACAAAAGACGACUGGAAUACAGAAAAGAACUGAAAGCUGCCUGGUUUUGAGAUAAGAAGUUUUGUUUUGUAAAUCUUCAUCAGGAGUUCUAUUGGACUAGUAUUAAAGAAGAUAGGUUAGAGGAAGGAGUUGUAAAUAGUUGUUCGUUAUCACUCUCUGUUAUACUUUUAUAAAUAAAGCUGUAAUUUCUUUACUUUAA